UGUGUACUCCCUCCGUUCCAAAAUACUUGACUUCGAUUUGUCCAAAAAUGGAUGUACCUAUAUUCUAAGACAUGUCUAGAUACAUAUAUAUUUUGACAAAUAGAAGGCAUGUAUUGUGCAAUGGAGGGAGUAGAAU
rfam:Triticum aestivum genome assembly, contig: Triticum_aestivum_CS42_TGACv1_scaffold_290507_4AL